rnacentral:rRNA from 3 species
UCUGGUAAUGAUGGCAGAGAGGUCACACCCGUUCCCAUACCGAACACGGAAGUUAAGCUCUCUAGCGCCGAUGGUAGUUGGGACCUUGUCCCUGUGAGAGUAGGACGU